GUUCCCGGGUCUUGUACACACCGCCCGUCACACCAUGGGAGCCGGGAAUGCCCGAAGUCGGUGACCUAACCUGAAAAGGGAGGAGCCGCCGAAGGCAGGUCUGGUAACUGGGGUGAAGUCGUAACAAGGUAUC
rnacentral:rRNA from 1 species